rnacentral:misc_RNA from 1 species
UUAAGUUCAGCGGGUAUUCCUACCUGAUCCGAGGUCAACCUUUCAGAAAGUUGGGGGUUUUAACGGCGUGGCCGAGCCGCGCUCCGGUGCGAGGUUUCAAAAGAGCUACUACGCAGAGGAGGCUGCGGCGGGACCGCCACUGUAUUUCGGGGGCGGCGACCCCGCGACGAGGCGGGGCCGGUCCCCAACACCGAGCCCCC